UAAGGAGGUUCAGCAUAGUCCUGCCAGCAAAGAUUAUUUAUUUACUUCAAGAGUUAAGAGUGGCAGUUUGGGGAUAGCACGAGGAGGAGAUAUCAGCUGUGAUGGCUUGGAGAAACAGUGUAAACUGGCAGUGUAAACAAGAGCAGGGCAUGUAUGAGUAGUUGAAAAUGGUGAAUAGGAGUCACAGUCUAAGUUGGUCUGGUGUCUGGCUAUACAGGAGCUUAAAUGGGCUGUACCUUGUAGCAUUCUGAGGACAGGUCUGACUUCUGAGAAAGGAAAGUGGUAAAAGUAUUGUCCAGUCCUUUUUAAGUUGGUGGCUGAGCUUGGUGAGGUGUGUUUUUGAUAGACCAUUAGUCUGUAACUGAAUAUUUGACUAAUAAAGGCUGGUCUGUUAUCAGACUGUAUAGAGGUGGGAAGGCUAAACUGAGGAAUUAUGUCUGACAGAAGGGAAGAAAUAACUGUGGUGGCCUUCUCAGAUCCUGUAGGAAAGGACUCUACCUAUCUAGUGAAAGUGUCUACUUAGACUAAGAGGUAUUUUAGUUUUUGUGACUCAGGGCAUGUUGAGUAAAGCUAACUUGCCAGUCCUGGGCGGGUGCAAAUCCUCGAGCUUGAUGUGUAGGGAAGGGAGGGGGCCUGAAUAAUCCUUGAGGAGUAGUAGAAUAGCAGAUAGAAUAGCAGAUGGAACACUGAGAAGUUAUUUCCUUGAGGAUAGAUUUCUACGAUGGAAAGGAAAUGAAAGGUUCUAAGAGGUGGGCUAGUGGCUUGUACUAUAGCAUAGCCUGCCUUUACUGGUGUGUGGUGAUUAGGCCUGGUGGAACUGCCAUCAAUAAAUCAAGUGUGAUCAGGGUAAGAAACAAGGAAGAAGGAAAUGUGGGGAAAUGGGAUGAACAUCAGGUGGAUCAGAGAGAUGUGGUCAUGAGGGUCAGGUGUGGUAUCUGGAAUAAUGUGGGAGGCUGGAUUGAAGUCCAGGCCAGGAACAAUGGUAAUUGUGGGACUUAACAAAGAGUGAGUACAGCUGAAGGAGCCAGGGCGCAGAAAGUAUAUGCGUCAGGUAUGAGGAAGAAAAUAGAUUUUGGAAGUUAUGAGAACUGUAGAGAGUGAGCUGAGCAUAGUUUGUGAUUUUGAGGGCCUCUAAAAGUAUUAAAGCAGUGGCAGCUGCUGCACGCAGACAUGAGGGCUAGGCUAAAACAGUAAGGUCAAGUUGUUUGGACAGAAAGGCUACAGGGUGCGGUCCUGGCUCUUGUGUAAGAAUUCUGACCGCACUAACCAUGCCUAGGAAGGAAAGGAGUUGUUUUGUAAGGGAUUGAGGUUUGGGAGAUUAAUCAGACACAAUCAGCAGGGAGAGCACGUGUGUUUUUACGAGAAUUAUGCCGAGAUAGGUAACAGAUGAGGAUGAAAUUUGGGCUUGACUGAAGUAAUGGGGGCUGUCUGUGAAGUCUUGCGGCAGUACAGCCCAGGUUCAGAAAUCAAAUUUGAAAAAAAACUUUUUCCAGUUUUAUUAUUGUAUCAUUGAAAAUGUGGCUUACACAUUAU
rnacentral:lncRNA from 1 species